AAAUUGAAGAGUUUGAUCAUGGCUCAGAUUGAACGCUGGCGGCAGGCCUAACACAUGCAAGUCGAGCGGUAGCACAGAGAGCUUGCUCUCGGGUGACGAGCGGCGGACGGGUGAGUAAUGUCUGGGAAACUGCCUGAUGGAGGGGGAUAACUACUGGAAACGGUAGCUAAUACCGCAUAACGUCGCAAGACCAAAGUGGGGGACCUUCGGGCCUCAUGCCAUCAGAUGUGCCCAGAUGGGAUUAGCUAGUAGGUGGGGUAACGGCUCACCUAGGCGACGAUCCCUAGCUGGUCUGAGAGGAUGACCAGCCACACUGGAACUGAGACACGGUCCAGACUUCUACGGGAGGCAGCAGUGGGGAAUAUUGCACAAUGGGCGCAAGCCUGAUGCAGCCAUGCCGCGUGUGUGAAGAAGGCCUUCGGGUUGUAAAGCACUUUCAGCGGGGAGGAAGGCGAUAAGGUUAAUAACCUUGGCGAUUGACGUUACCCGCAGAAGAAGCACCGGCUAACUCCGUGCCAGCAGCCGCGGUAAUACGGAGGGUGCAAGCGUUAAUCGGAAUUACUGGGCGUAAAGCGCACGCAGGCGGUCUGUCAAGUCGGAUGUGAAAUCCCCGGGCUCAACCUGGGAACUGCAUUCGAAACUGGCAGGCUAGAGUCUUGUAGAGGGGGUAGAAUUCCAGGUGUAGCGGUGAAAUGCGUAGAGAUCUGGAGGAAUACCGGUGGCGAAGGCGGCCCCCUGGACAAAGACUGACGCUCAGGUGCGAAAGCGUGGGGAGCAAACAGGAUUAGAUACCCUGGUAGUCCACGCCGUAAACGAUGUCGAUUUGGAGGUUGUGCCCUUGAGGCGUGGCUUCCGGAGCUAACGCGUUAAAUCGACCGCCUGGGGAGUACGGCCGCAAGGUUAAAACUCAAAUGAAUUGACGGGGGCCCGCACAAGCGGUGGAGCAUGUGGUUUAAUUCGAUGCAACGCGAAGAACCUUACCUGGUCUUGACAUCCACAGAACUUUCCAGAGAUGGAUUGGUGCCUUCGGGAACUGUGAGACAGGUGCUGCAUGGCUGUCGUCAGCUCGUGUUGUGAAAUGUUGGGUUAAGUCCCGCAACGAGCGCAACCCUUAUCCUUUGUUGCCAGCGGUCCGGCCGGGAACUCAAAGGAGACUGCCAGUGAUAAACUGGAGGAAGGUGGGGAUGACGUCAAGUCAUCAUGGCCCUUACGACCAGGGCUACACACGUGCUACAAUGGCAUAUACAAAGAGAAGCGACCUCGCGAGAGCAAACGGACCUCAUAAAGUAUGUCGUAGUCCGGAUUGGAGUCUGCAACUCGACUCCAUGAAGUCGGAAUCGCUAGUAAUCGUAGAUCAGAAUGCUACGGUGAAUACGUUCCCGGGCCUUGUACACACCGCCCGUCACACCAUGGGAGUGGGUUGCAAAAGAAGUAGGUAGCUUAACCUUCGGGAGGGCGCUUACCACUUUGUGAUUCAUGACUGGGGUGAAGUCGUAACAAGGUAACCGUAGGGGAACCUGCGGUUGGAUCACCUCCUUA
rnacentral:rRNA from 1 species